GACGAACGCUGGCGGCGUGCCUAAUACAUGCAAGUCGAACGAACCGCGACUAAGUGCUUGCACUAAGUCAAGGUGAGUGGCGAACGGGUGAGUAACACGUGGGUAACCUACCUCAUAGUGGGGGAUAACAGUCGGAAACGACUGCUAAUACCGCAUAGGACAUAGGAUCACAUGAUCCAGUGAGGAAAGGUGGCGCAAGCUAUCGCUAAGAGAUGGACCCGCGGUGCAUUAGCUAGUUGGUAGGGUAAAGGCCUACCAAGGCGAUGAUGCAUAGCCGACCUGAGAGGGUGAUCGGCCACAUUGGGACUGAGACACGGCCCAAACUCCUACGGGAGGCAGCAGUAGGGAAUCUUCCGCAAUGGACGCAAGUCUGACGGAGCAACGCCGCGUGAGUGAAGAAGAUCUUCGGAUCGUAAAGCUCUGUUGUUAGAGAAGAACAGCGCAUAGAGUAACUGCUAUGCGUGUGACGGUAUCUAACCAGAAAGCCACGGCUAACUACGUG
rnacentral:rRNA from 1 species